rnacentral:rRNA from 1 species
UUUAAAUUGAGAGUUUGAUCCUGGCUCAGGACGAACGCUGGCGGCGUGCCUAACACAUGCAAGUCGAGCGAUGAAACUUCCUUCGGGAAGUGGAUUAGCGGCGGACGGGUGAGUAACACGUGGGUAACCUGCCUCAAAGAGUGGGAUAGCCUCCCGAAAGGGAGAUUAAUACCGCAUAACAUUAUUUUAUGGCAUCAUAAAAUAAUCAAAGGAGCAAUCCGCUUUGAGAUGGACCCGCGGCGCAUUAGCUAGUUGGUGAGGUAACGGCUCACCAAGGCAACGAUGCGUAGCCGACCUGAGAGGGUGAUCGGCCACAUUGGAAC